UUGGAUGUUGCUUCUAUUCUGUUUGGAUGAAAGUGUCAUUUACGUGUUUGAUUCAUUGAGAAGGGAGCGGGAUAUUCGGUUGACAACACCUACACGAACGGCAUAUAAACUGUAUGUAGCACAAGGUGGCAGGAAGAAUAACCGAAAGGAAUUUCUUUGGUGUCAUGCAGAUGUUCAGUGUCCUCAACAACAAGGAGGUACAGAGUGCGGUUUAUUUGUUAUGAGGUACAUGCAUGAAGUAUUCCUGCUUUCUCAAAAAAAUCCUAAUACCAAUUGGAAAGAGG